CCCGCCCUCUCUCAGUGGAUGAAAAGGGACAGAUUAGGGGAGGUCUGCUCAGCUGUGGGGCACAGAAGACAGGAUCUGUGAUGGUCUCCACCAUGGCUUGGUCUCUGGUCCUUCUCACCCUCCUUGCUCACUACACAGGGUCCUGGGCCCAGUCUGUACUGACUCAGCCACCCUCGGUGUCAGGCUCCUUGGGCCAGAGGGUCACCAUCUCCUGCACUGGAAGCAGCUCCAACAUCGGUGGCAAUUAUGUAAACUGGUACCAACAACUCUCAGGAACUGCUCCGAAACUCCUCAUCUAUCGUAAUAGCAAUCGACCCUCAGGGGUCUCGGAUCGAUUCUCCGGCUCCAAGUCUGGCAGCACAGGCACCCUGACCAUCACUGGGCUCCAGGCUGAGGACGAAGCUGAUUAUUACUGCCUGUCUGCUGACAUUAUUCAACGUACUGACACAGUGCUCCAGGCCCUUGGGGAAGUGAGACAAAAACCUGCUGUCCCCACAGUGAUGCACUUUCCAUGUGCAGCCCCCACCAUCUGCCAACACAGCUGCUUCCCUAAAACGGAAGUCUGA